AAACACCCACUCGUGUUUCACUCAGCAGGAAAUAGUAAAUGAACAGGGAGUUCUCUGUCCAACAUUCAUCUCUCAACCAACAUCACUAAAACUGGUUCAUCAUCUCAUUCCCAUUUCUGGGACAUGGCUGGGUACGAAUCAGCAAUUCACUGCAGCUGGUUGGUGCUGUUCCUGCUGGGCCUUACUGAAUAUCUCAAUGCUGAAGCUGGGAGAAGAUGAGCCAUAACCAAUUGGAGAGGUAACAAAUCGGCAGAGAUCCACCCAACCUGCUGCUGCUAACCAGGUUCGAGCAAGACGCCUGUGAGCUGGAGAGCCAGCAAGCUCCCUGUGCACCCGGUCGUGGAUAGGCUGGGGUGUCAGAUAAAGAUUCGCCAGCACACACUCAAUCACAGGACCCCGAAGGGCCAUCCCUGAUGCCAGAGCGCCGCCGAGCUUCAUCUGCACCUGCAUCACAUCCGCUCUCUGAACCAGGCACCAGCGCAGACAUCAGCACCUCAGUGGGCAUUAGAUCGUCGGCUGCAUUAUGCUGUCAGACCUUCUGAGUUUUUCCAGCAUUUUCUGUUUUUAAUUUCA